UACGAAGGGGGCUAGCGUUGUUCGGAAUUACUGGGCGUAAAGCGCACGUAGGCGGACAUUUACGUCAGGGGUGAAAUCCCGGGGCUCAACCCCGGAACUGCCUUUGAUACUGGGUGUCUCGAGUCCGGAAGAGGUGAGUGGAAUUCCGAGUGUAGAGGUGAAAUUCGUAGAUAUUCGGAGGAACACCAGUGGCGAAGGCGGCUCACUGGUCCGGUACUGACGCUGAGGUGCGAAAGCGUGGGGAGCAAACAGG
rnacentral:rRNA from 1 species